UGGGGAAUAUUGGACAAUGGGCGCAAGCCUGAUCCAGCCAUGUCGCGUGAGUGACGAAGGCCUUAGGGUUGUAAAGCUCUUUUGGCGGGGAAGAUAAUGACGGUACCCGCAGAAUAAGCUCCGGCUAACUUCGUGCCAGCAGCCGCGGUAAUACGAAGGGAGCUAGCGUUGUUCGGAAUCACUGGGCGUAAAGCGCACGUAGGUGGGCAGUUAAGUCAGGGGUGAAAGCCCGAGGCUCAACCUCGGAAUUGCCUCUGAUACUGGCUGUAUAGAGUUCGAGAGAGGUGAGUGGAAUUCCUAGUGUAGAGGUGAAAUUCGUAGAUAUUAGGAAGAACACCGGUGGCGAAGGCGGCUCACUGGCUCGAUACUGACACUGAGGUGCGAAAGCGUGGGGAGCAAACAGGAUUAGAUACCCCCGUAGUCCCUGAGCGGGCUGGCAAGGCGCAU
rnacentral:rRNA from 1 species